GACGAACGCUGGCGGCGUGCUUAACACAUGCAAGUCGAACGGCGUGGCGAACGGGUGAGUAACACGUGGGUGACCUCCCCCGCACUUCGGGAUAUGCUUGGGUAAUUGGGUCUACUACUGGUUAGUGUGGGAUGGGCCCGCGGCCUAUCAGCUUGUUGGUGGGGUAAUGGCCUACCAAGGCGGCGACGGGUAGCCGGCCUGAGAGGGUGGACGGCCACAUUGGGACUGAGACACGGGCCAGACUGCUACGGGAGGCAGCAGGGGGGAAUAUUGCACAAUGGGCGGAAGCCUGAUGCAGCGACGCCGCGUGGGGGAUGACGGCCUUCGGGUUGUAAACUCCUUUCACCAUCGACGCGGUAGGUGGAGAAGAAGCACCGGCUAACUUCGUGCCAGCAGCCGCGGUAAUAC
rnacentral:rRNA from 1 species